rnacentral:lncRNA from 1 species
UGCAUGAUGAGUUCCUAUAUGAUGAGAGCUCAAAUUCCUACCACAGCCAUAUAUGCAUGCUUGCUAGACUUUGAGCCACACAUUUACUAUACUGCUUAUGAGCAUUGAGUGUGGUCAAGCUGUGAAGACCCUUAGGAGCUUGUCAUGUGGUUAAAUCAAGAUUUCACUUGCACGUUCACUCAUAUAUGCUACUUCUACUCUGGAAGUACGCAUCCACACACAUCCACUCAUUUCCAUCUCCAGAGCCACCUAAAAAUAUUCUACUCCUAAUCCGGGAGAGAAUAACCAAAAACAUUUCUAUUUUUCCUUGUGAAAUAAAAUGCUCAAGUUAUCUUGUUACUACCACUUGCUAUAUUAUCUCAAGAGAUGAAUGCUCUGAAAAAAAAAGGGGGGAAUAAUACGAGGAAAUAAAAAGGAGCAAGUGCUCGGAACCUCGAAAGAAAAGAAAAAGUGAGACGAGAGGUAAAAAUGGACAAGUGUCCGACAGUAGAAUUAGGGGUGCAAGAUACCCACCUGAGAGACAAGAAAAAGAAGAGCAUCUCAUUCUCCUCAUAAAGUUUCAAAAGCAAGGAAGGUAUGUAUCCCCUCAAAAGAGCAAAAGUAGAAUUAGACUUCCACCACCAUUGUUUUCAUCAUUGUUAUCACCAUCAUCACCAUAUACCAUUCAUUCGCCACACAUGCACAUCUUGAUUAAACUUAUUGACUUGUUACUUUGGAUCCAUGGUUUGAAUAUGCAAUAAAUGUCUUGUAAGUAUGUAUAUUUUAUCUCCCACCUAUGAGCUCCAGAUAUUAAAGCCUUAUUAGAGUAGGGUGAGAGAGAAGGCAAUGUCACUAUGCCUCAUACCACAAAUACCACAUAUCUUGAGAGAAGGCAUAUACCAUCAAUGCCUUGGUAAGGAUCCAAAAAUACCACAAAAGAGAGACCUGAGAGAAUCAUACAAGGAAUCUCUGAGUUUUAUUUGAAAAUCUACAAAAAUCCCAGAGCUAUAGCUGAUCAAGAAUAAGAGACAUGGCACUUGGCUAGACUGUUCUAUCUUUUAACCAC